UAAAUACUCCCUUCGUCUAGAAAUACUUGUCUUCAAAAUAAAUAAAAAAGGAUGUAUCUAGAUGUAUUUUAGUUCUAAAUAUACUUUUUUUGUUCAUUUUGAUGACAAGUUUUCUCAGAUGGAGGAAAUAUCUU
rnacentral:pre_miRNA from 1 species